rnacentral:tRNA from 1 species
CCCCGCUUAGGUCAACGGACAGACCGUCGUGCUCCUAUCGCGAAGGUGCUGGUUCGAUUCCAGCAGCGGGGACGA